UACAGAGGGUGCAAGCGUUGUUCGGAAUUAUUGGGCGUAAAGGGCGCGUAGGCGGUGCGGUAAGUCUCUAGUGAAAUCUCCGGGCUCAACUCGGAGCCUGCUAGGGAAACUGCCGUGCUUGAGUGUGGGAGAGGUGAGUGGGAUUCCCGGUGUAGCGGUGAAAUGCGUAGAUAUCGGGAGGAACACCUGUGGCGAAAGCGGCUCACUGGACCACAACUGACGCUGAGGCGCGAAAGCUAGGGGAGCAAACAGG
rnacentral:rRNA from 1 species